rnacentral:rRNA from 1 species
GAUGAACGCUGGCGGCGUGCCUAACACAUGCAAGUCGAACGGACAGACGAGGAGGUUGCUCUCUUGACGUUAGCGGCGCACGGGUGAGUAACAUGUGGAUAACACACCUAUAUGACUGGGAAAACUUCGUGAAACCGGAGCUUAUAACGGAGUAUAUUUUCAACCGCACGGUUGAAUAGUGUAAGACGGUUUUGCUGUGACUUAGAGAUGAAUCCGCUCGGUAUUAGCUAGUUGGUAAGGUAACGGCUUACCAAGGCGACGAUGCGUAGCAGACCUGAGAGGGUGACCAGCCACACUGGAACGGAGACACGGUCCAGACUCCUACGGGAGGCAGCAGUGGGGAAUCUUGCACAAUGGGCGAAAGCCUGACGGAGCAACGCCGCGUGAGUGAUGAAGGUCUUCGGGUCGUAAAACUCUGUUAGUAGGGAAGAACAAAUGUGUAGGUAACUAUGCACUUCUUGACGGUACCUGAAGAGAAAGCAACGGCUAACUACGUG